UACGUAGGGGGCGAGCGUUGUCCGGAGUUACUGGGCGUAAAGCGCACGCAGGCGGUCUGUGAAGUUUGGAGUGACAGUUGGUGGCUCAACCACCAAAGUGCUUUGAAAACUGAUAGACUUGAGGGCUUCAGAGGGACACGGAAUUCCGGGUGGAGUGGUGAAAUGCGUAGAGAUCCGGAGGAACACCAAAGGCGAAGGCAGUGUCCUGGGGAGGUACC
rnacentral:rRNA from 1 species